AACGAACGCUGGCGGCAGGCUUAACACAUGCAAGUCGAACGCAUCCUUCGGGGUGAGUGGCAGACGGGUGAGUAACGCGUGGGAACGUGCCCUUCAGUUCGGGAUAACCCAGGGAAACUUGGGCUAAUACCGGAUACGUGCGAGAGCAGAAAGAUAUUAUCGCUGAAGGAUCGGCCCGCGUCUGAUUCGGUAGUUGUUGGGGUAAUGGCCCCCCAAGGAGACUAUCAGUAGCUGGUCUGAGAGGAUGAUCAGCCACAUUGGGACUGAGACACGGCCCAAACUCCUACGGGAGGCAGAAGUGGGGAAUAUUGGACAAUAGGCGCAAGCCUGAUCCAGCCAUGCCGCGUGAGAGAUGAAAGCCUUAGGGUUGUAAAGCUCUUUCGUCCGGGACGAUAAUGACGGUACCGGAAGAAGAAGCCCCGGCUAACUUCGUGCCAGCCGCCGCGGUAA
rnacentral:rRNA from 1 species